UACGGGUGGGGCAAGCGUUGUUCGGAAUUACUGGGCGUAAAGGGCUCGUAGGCGGCCAACUAAGUCAGACGUGAAAUCCCUCGGCUUAACCGGGGAACUGCGUCUGAUACUGGAUGGCUUGAGUUCGGGAGAGGGAUGUGGAAUUCCAGGUGUAGCGGUGAAAUGCGUAGAUAUCUGGAGGAACACCGGUGGCGAAGGCGGCAUCCUGGACCGACACUGACGCUGAUGAGCGAAAGCCAGGGGAGCAAACGGG
rnacentral:rRNA from 1 species